AUGUGAUCGUCUCUCGCAUAUCAAUAAGCGGAGGAAAAGAAACUAACAAGGAUUCCCCUAGUAACGGCGAGUGAAGCGGGAAGAGCUCAAAUUUGAAAUCUUAAAGGGUUUCCCUUUACGAAUUGUAGUUUAAAGAAGUGUUUUCUGUUGAGGUUCUGGUAAAAGUUCUUUGGAAUAGGACAUCAUGGAGGGUGAGAAUCCCGUAUUUGACCUUUACUUUCAACUUUGUGAUACACUUUCAAAGAGUCGGAUUGUUUGGGAAUGCAGUCCAAAAUGGGUGGUAAAUUUCAUCUAAAGCUAAAUAUUGGCGAGAGACCGAUAACGAACAAGUACCGUGAGGGAAAGAUGAAAAGAACUUUGAAAAGAGAGUUAAACAGUACGUGAAAUUGUCAAAAGGGAAGCGUUUGACACCAGUGUUGUUUUUUUGAAAAUCAAUUAAAGAACUGUUUAUGCUAAGUUGUUUAGACUUUAUCAGCUAACUGUUUAGUUUUGAGCUUUUCUUUAAUGCACUUUUCAGUUAACAAGUCAACAUCAAUUUCUUUUGCUGUAAAAAAGCUUGAGGAAGGUGGCUUGAGAUUCGUCUUAAGUGUUUAUAGCCUCUUGCCUAUGCAGUCGGAGAGAUUGAGGUCUGCAGCGUAGAUCCUUCGGGGCUAAAUGCAUUUGUGCUAAGUUAUAGCAUUUUAUAGACAACUUGUUGACUAUGAUUUGUCUUGUAGCUUACUCGCUUAUGUUAUUUUACCUACGCUUAGGAUGUUGACACACGCGCGUGCUCG
rnacentral:rRNA from 1 species